GUUUUCAUUCGAAUACCUGUUUGUGUCACCUGGUUCUUAAGAACCGGUUUAUUAGCAAGGCUAUAUAAAGAAUUACUCAGGUGUUAAAUACCAGUUUAGGACGACACGUACAGCGGAAAGUUUAAAUUUUCAGAAUUGUUUUAUUAAAAUCAAUAAAUCAUGUGAUCCAACUUUAUGCCAUAAUUAUGUGUGUGUACAUUUAAUAUGCCAAAUAUUAAAUAGCUGCAGCGUGUCGUUGCUAAUUCC
rnacentral:sRNA from 1 species